GUCACCAACCUCGCGCUAAAGCGACGGGGCUUGUCGAAAGCUAAAGCCAAUAGCGGAAAGCAAGCGUAAGUGGGACUAGACAAUGGCUGAGAAACCAAUUUGAAUUAGCUGAAGGUGGCACUUCAAAAGACGUUACAGGCACCUCCCUAACCUGUAUCCUCUCUG
rnacentral:sRNA from 17 species